UCACAUUAUAGACACCAUUAUGUGCAAUAAUUAUGUACAAGUAGAAUUUUCCUUAUUUCUCUCCAACUAUUUGAAGCCCCUGUGCAACCUGUUCGCCUCUGUGCCAAUCUGCUGACUGCGGACUGCCAUUACCAUUUUCGGUUUGAUUGUGACCCUUUAACCCAAAAUAUAUGGGUCUGCCCCUGGAAUGAUGUAUAGAAAUCUGAAGGGUAGUUUAACUGUCAUAGUUUGAUGAUGUAAAGAAAAUGAUUGGAUGCAUGUCCCAACUGCAAAGCCCGAUUCCUGUUUUAUCUUUUGUCAUCUUGGCCUUUUCCAUGACAGGUGCGCUUGUAUGGUAGGGUCACGAACAUCAAUUAAAAUAUUGAAUUUUGUGUUUGUGGGGGGAAGAGUGCACAGAAUAUGUUUUCUUGGCCUGGGCUUUUUCCCUUGUUGUGUUGUUCAUCUCCUUUUUUUUGCUGUUUAAGUUUUAUCACUCGGGUAAGAGCAUGAAGAUACGUAUGUAAAAUCUGGAACAAGAUUGGCAGUAAUAUACGAUCAGCAUGCUGUCUAGCCUCUCAGGUAUAUACUGCUUAAAUUUGACAUGCCCAAUUCAUUACUUCAAAUACAUGUCAAUUUUCUAAAUAUAAGUCACUCUAGCAUUAUUCAGUUCAUAUUGUAGUUUAAAUGAUUUCUUGGAUACGCAUAGGGGGCAUUGGCAUGAUAAACUUUUGAGAAAUCCAACUUUAAUAAGACUAACAAAUUCCAAUUCCCCGCUCAACUGAGGGAACCAGAAUUUUGCUAAUUGAUCUUGACCAAAUCUCAGAAAUUAUGUCGUUGCACACACUUUUAAUGAUUUAGUAUCAUGCACCAACAGUGGUCUUGAAUGGUGCCUUAUUAGUGAGAAUUCAUUUCAAAUUUUUUGAACAACUCUAUCAGCAAAGCCCAACCAUAUAAAUUUCAUUAAUGAUUUUCUUGAAUAUGCUGAGGCUUUUACUUUAAUCUUUAGAAGGUUUGCAAUAAUAACUUCUGUAAGUAUUUUUCUGGUUCUUUCUUUGAAUCUUCUUGACAUCAGAAAUUUGUGGUCACUGCUUUCUUGAGAUGUUUUCAUUUUAUCGUUAAACAAUCUUGCUUCUUUGUUCCUACUCUGUUUUUCGGGUAGACCUGGCAACGAUAUAAUAGAUGUUCACACAAAGCUAUAUUUUAUUUUCCUGACAGCGUGUUCGAAUUUGUGGUGUCCUUUUCUUUCUGUAGUGUAUACAGAUUAAGUCUCCUUAUGCCUAGGGGUGUUAAGUGGAACUGCUCGCCGCACUAUCAAGCCAAGCAGCGAAUUCCUCAGCUGCUCAUCGGCUUACGAGCUGGCUCAUAUAUGUGUGGAAAAUGCAAUUUUUAAUAUAAUAAUAAUAAUAAUAAUAAUAAUAAUAAUAAUAAUAAUAAUAAUAAUAAUAAUAAUAAAAAACUGGAGAGCCGCACCAAGGGGCGAGUUGGUGAGCCAAGCUGAGCCCACAUUUGGCGAAGUAAGCCAGCAAGCACUUAAUUGGCAAUUACAUACUGAUGGUGGGUGAGCCCUGUAGCUCGGCUUGACCUAUUUAACACCCUACUUACGUCAAUCGCGUUGGUUUAAAGUACACUCAGUUUAUUUGUUCUUCAAUAUAUUUUAUUUAGACCAUCUUGUAUAGCUUUCUAUAUGUUGUUUAAUGUCUUUCUACAUAGAGAUACUUCAAAUAUACUGAACCAUAAGUUGUCACAACUAUAGUGCAACAUGAAUGAUAUGACUGAAUAAUGUGCUCGUAUACUUUUAAUCCUUGAGUAUGAGAAUGCACAUGGGAUCUGGAAGGACUUUUUUCACCAGAGACAUGGCAGAUUCAAAGGAUGCAUUUGCUGAUUACUUUUGGAUGCUGGAUUUCCUUAGUGCUAUUCAUCUAAGUUAUUUUCUUUCUACCCAACUCAAGUAUCAGAUAGAUAAACAUGGAAAUUUAUUUCUGGCAAUUCCUUACUCUGAACUUUAUCAUUUUUAGAUUAUGAUAGAUAUAUUCAUUUGGUUUUCACCUUGAUCUUGGAUUUUGAAAGUCGUGUCUUAUUUUAUUAAUUAUGAGUCAUAGUGAUGACUUAACACUCUUGGUGAUGAAUGUUCUAGUUUUUGUUUCGUUUAAUGAAGAGCUUAAAACAUUGUCUAUGUUGUCUGUUACACCUUCAUUACUAUUCUGUUAUCUUCAAAUCCACAGUGUAUGGACUUCUAUAUUAUCCUGAACCCUACCCCAUCUUAACUGAUUGUGGAAACUAACCUUAAAUGUUGGAAUGUGUUUCUACAUGUGGUAUUUUUAUUCAAAAUAAUUUCAUGAGACAAACUAAAGGUCUCAAUUCAAAAAUCCAAUCUCACAAGUUAAAUCAUUGAUUUGUUCAUAUGAGCAUGCCAAAUAUGAUUAAGAAUUCAACAGAAGCACAAUGCAAAGAUUUAUAUUGUAGACUACAGUUGACUGAUACAACUAGUUGAACAUGUUAUAACCAUUAACAAGCAACCAACCAGAUGGAACCCGAACCAUACCAUGUAAGGUGUCAGUUUCAACUUUUGGAGCCCUGUACCAACCCUUUUAGUUCUUUAUUUCUACCUUAUUCCAUGAUACCAAUUCAUGGUUGAUCCUGCCAAGAGACCAGUGUACUCAGGGACUUUGAGCAGUAUAAAUAUAGACAGACUAUCUUCAACGAUAUGUCCCUAAUUUGUUCAUCAUGAAUUAAGAUGAAAAACUAGUAAAUGUGAUGGAAUCCCUGCUAUUCAAUUGCUCCCUUUGUAUUUUUCAGGUUACCAUUUUGAAUUUCAUUCAUUGGCAAGGCAGAAUUUUGUUUCUUAGAUACUUAGACAUAAGAGGGAUCUUGAUGGUUCAUUAGAUUUGAAAGCUUGGAGGCUAUCGUUGUCGCUGCAAUGUUCUUCUCUGUGGACAUCCACUAUAGCAAACAAGACAUCCAAAUAACAUGGAGUGUGAUGCCUCUGUUUUGUUUCACUGGGAUUGUCUGAUAUGCAAGCUACUGCAUCUUACGACGUGCCUGGAAGUGUUUUAAGAAAUAAGCAAUUAAAGCUCGGGUAGCCAAGGUCAAGAGGAAACUCAAGCUGUUAAUACAAGGUGGAAAAGGAUCUCAGCCUUUAGAACAGCAACACAUCUUUUUCAUGUUUUACAAUGUACAAAAACUCGUUUUAAAGUUUUAGAAAAUUAAUGGUUCAAGGCAGUCGAUGAGGAGGUGAAUGCCAUCGUGGGA